rnacentral:rRNA from 1 species
GACGAACGCUGGCGGCGUGCCUAAUACAUGCAAGUCGAACGGCCUUUUCUAUGGAAGCUUGCUUCCACUGAGAAGAUAGUGGCGAACGGGUGAGUAACACGUGGGUAACCUGCCCAUAAGAGGGGGAUAACAUCCGGAAACGGGUGCUAAUACCGCAUAGUUUUCUUGAUCGCAUGAUCGAGAAAGGAAAGACGGCCUUUGUGCUGUCGCUUAUGGAUGGACCCGCGGCGUAUUAGUUAGUUGGUGAGGUAACGGCUCACCAAGACGAUGAUACGUAGCCGACCUGAGAGGGUGAUCGGCCACAUUGGGACUGAGACACGGCCCAAACUCCUACGGGAGGCAGCAGUAGGGAAUCUUCCGCAAUGGACGAAAGUCUGACGGAGCAACGCCGCGUGAGUGAAGAAGGUUUUCGGAUCGUAAAACUCUGUUGUCAGAGAAGAACAAGUCGGAGAGUAACUGCUCCGGCCUUGACGGUAUCUGACCAGAAAGCCACGGCUAACUACGUGCCAGCAGCCGCAGUAAAAC